GUGCUCUAUUCGGCAGCACAUACACUAGAAUUGGGAUGGUACACAGAAGGCUGGCGUGGACCCAGUGCAAGACUGACACGCCAAAUGUCUGCAGCGUUUUGUAUUUUU
ensembl:snRNA U6 U6 spliceosomal RNA